rnacentral:rRNA from 1 species
CAGCCGCCGCGGGAAAACGUAGGGUGCAAGCGUUAAUCGGAAUUACUGGGCGUAAAGCGUGCGCAGGCGGUUUGUUAAGACAGAUGUGAAAUCCCCGGGCUCAACCUGGGAACUGCAUUUGUGACUGGCAAGCUAGAGUCUGGCAGAGGGGGGUGGAAUUCCGCGUGUAGCAGUGAAAUGCGUAGAUAUGCGGAGGAACACCGAUGGCGAAGGCAGCCCCCUGGGCCAACACUGACGCUCAUGCACGAAAGCGUGGGGAGCAAACAGGAUUAGAUACCCCUGUAGUCCCUGUCUUUAUACA